rnacentral:rRNA from 1 species
GUAAGCUACUAAGAGCGAAUGGUGGAUGCCUUGGUUGGUAGAGGCGAUGAAAGACGUGCUAGACUGCGAUAAGUCUCGGGGAGUUGUCAAGGAGCUUUGAUCCGGGAAUUUCUGAAUGGGGAAACCCAGUAUAUAGUGAUAUAUACUACCUAUAUGGAGCAAACGUGGGGAAUUGAAACAUCUUAGUACCCACAGGAAAAGAAAUCAAAUGAGAUUACGAAAGUAGCGGCGAGCGAAAUCGUAAAAGGGCAAACCACUAGUUUACUAGUGGGGUUGUAGGACUGUAACAUAGACUAAAAAGAGUUAAUAGAAUAAUCUGGAAAGUUUAAGCAUAGAGGGUGAUACUCCCGUAUAUGAAAACUCUUUUUUACUUAACAGUAUCCUGAGUAGGGCGAGGCACGUGAAACCUUGUCUGAAUCUGGGAAGACCACUUUCCAACCCUAAAUACUACUACCAAACCGAUAGUGAACAAGUACCGUGAGGGAAAGGUGAAAAGAACGGGGGUGACCCGAGUGAAAUAGAACCUGAAACCAUUUGCUUACAAUCAUUCAGAGCACGAUUCUUUAUGACGUGUGAUGGACUGCCUUUUGCAUAAUGAGCCUGCGAGUUGUGAUAUCUGGCAAGGUUAAGGAAAUCCGGAGCCGUAGCGAAAGCAAGUCUUAAUAGGGCGUUUAGUCAGAUAUUGCAGACCCGAAACGAAGUGAUCUAUCCAUGAGCAGGUUGAAACCGGUGUAAGAGCCGGCGGAGGACCGAACCCGCUGACGUUGAAAAGUCUUGGGAUGACUUGUGGAUAGGGGUGAAAGGCCAAUCAAACUUCGUGAUAGCUGGUUCUCUCCGAAAUAUAUUUAGGUAUAGCGUUAUGUAGUAAUUAGAGGGGGUAGAGCACUGAAUGGGCUAGGGCAUACACCAAUGUACCAAACCCUAUCAAACUCCGAAUACCUUUAAUGUAAUCAUAGCAGUCAGGCGGCGAGUGAUAAAAUCCGUCGUCAAAAGGGGAACAACCCAGACUACCGACUAAGGUCCCAAAAUCUUAUUUAAGUGGAAAACGAUGUGAAGUUACUUAAACAACCAGGAGGUUGGCUUAGAAGCAGCCAUCCUUUAAAGAUAGCGUAAUAGCUCACUGGUCUAGUGAUUUUGCGCGGAAAAUAUAACGGGGCUAAAAUAAGUACCGAAGUCGUAGACUUAGUUUUACUAAGUGGUAGGAGAGCGUUGUAUUUAGCGUUGAAGAUGUACCGGUAAGGAGCGUUGGAGCAAAUACAAGUGAGCAUGCAGGCAUGAGUAGCGUUAAAUCAGGUGAGAAUCCUGAUCGCCGAAAACCCAAGGUUUCCUACGCGAUGCUCGUCAUCGUAGGGUUAGUCGGGUCCUAAGCAAAGUCCGAAAGGGGUAUGCGAUGGAAAAUUGGUUAAUAUUCCAAUACCAAUUAUUAUGUGCGAUGGAAGGACGCUUAAAGUUAGUGGAGCUAACUGAUGGAAUAGUUAGUCUAAGGUCGUAGGUUGAGUUAUAGGCAAAUCCGUAACUCUUUAUCCGAAAGCUUAAAGGCUUACAAAGCUCUUCGGAGUAGCGUAAGAAUCCAUGAUACUAUAGAGCCAAGAAAAGUUUCUAAGUUUAGUAAUAAUUGCCCGUACCGUAAACCGACACAGGUGGGUGGGAUGAGUAUUCUAAGGCGCGUGGAAGAACUCUCUUUAAGGAACUCUGCAAAAUAGCACCGUAUCUUCGGUAUAAGGUGUGCCUACCAGGGUGCAAGCCCUAGAGGUUACAACAAAGAGUCCCUCCCGACUGUUUACCAAAAACACAGCACUCUGCUAACACGUAAGUGGAUGUAUAGGGUGUGACGCCUGCCCGGUGCUCGAAGGUUAAUUGAUGGAGUUAGCAUUAGCAAAGCUCUUGAUCGAAGCCCGAGUAAACGGCGGCCGUAACUAUAACGGUCCUAAGGUAGCGAAAUUCCUUGUCGGUUAAAUACCGACCUGCAUGAAUGGCGUAACGAGAUGGGAGCUGUCUCAAAGAGGGAUCCAGUGAAAUUGUAGUGGAGGUGAAAAUUCCUCCUACCCGCGGCAAGACGGAAAGACCCCGUGGACCUUUACUAUAGCUUGACACUGCUACUUGGAUAAAGAUGUGCAGGAUAGGUGGGAGAUUAUGAUCUAUAGAUGCUAGUCUAUAAGGAGUCAUCCUUGAGAUACCACUCUUCUUUAUUCGGGUAGCUAACUAGCCUAAGUUAUCCUUAGGUAGGACAAUGUCUGGUGGGUAGUUUGACUGGGGCGGUCGCCUCCCAAAUAAUAACGGAGGCUUACAAAGGUUGGUUCAAAACGGUUGGAAAUCGUUUGUAGAGUAUAAAGGCAAAAACCAGCUUAACUGCGACACCGACAAGUGGAGCAGAGACGAAAGUCGGUCUUAGUGAUCCGGUGGUUCUGUGUGGAAGGGCCAUCGCUCAAAGGAUAAAAGGUACCCCGGGGAUAACAGGCUGAUCUCCCCCAAGAGCUCACAUCGACGGGGAGGUUUGGCACCUCGAUGUCGGCUCAUCGCAUCCUGGGGCUGGAGCAGGUCCCAAGGGUAUGGCUGUUCGCCAUUUAAAGCGGUACGCGAGCUGGGUUCAGAACGUCGUGAGACAGUUCGGUCCCUAUCUGCCGUGGGCGUAAGAAGAUUGAGGAGAGUUGACCCUAGUACGAGAGGACCGGGUUGAACCAACCACUGGUGUAUAAGUUGUCCUGCCAAGGGCACCGCUUAGUAGCUAAGUUGGGAUGUGAUAAGAGCUGAAAGCAUCUAAGCUCGAAGCCAACUCCAAGAUUAAUCUUCUUUUAAGAGCUCUUAUAGACUAUAAGUUUGAUAGGCUGGGUGUGUAAUUGAUGUAAGUCAUUUAGCUGACCAGUACUAAUAGCUCGUUUGCUUAUCUAU